GCAGCGGGCGCACGGCGAUUGGCUCCCUCGGUGGCGGCGCCACAGGACCCGCGAACUGCGUGAGCGGAGUGGGCCCUUAAGGAUCCCGUGGCUCCACAGGCUCCCUGCUGACUUCUGUUCCAGUGUUGGUGGCUGCAGCAGCAGCAACAGCAGCAGCAGCGACAGCAGCAGCAGGAGCAGCGGAGGCAGCUGGAGCAGCAGCGGAGGCAGCUGGAGCAGCAGCAGCAGCAGAGGCAGUGGUGGUGACUACUGAGCACUGAGCACGUUUGGUUAGUUGCCCAAGAUGCCAAAUAUCAAAAUCUUCAGUGGGAGCUCCCACCAGGACUUAUCCCAGAAAAUAGCUGACCGCCUAGGCCUGGAGCUGGGCAAGGUGGU
rnacentral:lncRNA from 1 species